CAAAGAACCAAGAACGGUGGAUCGUUCCAACAACUCCAAGUGUUGUUCCAAUGCGUUGGAUUCGCUCGGGCGUCACGAGGUGUAAUGCUUCGUUUCUCAUCUCGCAAGGAUCUCUGUUUACAUCAAAGAUACAUGGUGAUGCCGAGAAAUUGCACGGAACCUAAAAAACAUUAUGCAAACUCUAUAAUUUAUUUCGAUCAAGAAAAAUAAGAAAAAUGCAUUUCGCCCGAAGUCUAAUAAAAUCUUCGCCGGUGUCAGUUUAUCAAUUCGAUCGACGCGCUUCUUUCUGAUUUUUGAUAAUCGUCGAUUUGUUCGCACCGAGGUGAUGGCA